rnacentral:misc_RNA from 1 species
GUGAAUCAUCGAAUUUUUGAACGCAAAUUGCGCUUCCUGGUAUCCCGGGAAGCAUGCCUGUUUGAGGGUCAGUAUACAUAAACAACCGGUUUAGUUACAAAUUGUGACGUUUCCGGAGUUUGGGCUAUCUUAAUAUUUUUGGUUAAUAGUUUUAAAAUUGACUUUUUUUGCGCAUUUUUAAACGUACAUAGAUUUUUUUUAUUUGUCUAUUCUUAAUGUCAAAUUCUUAUUAGAUGCGAUCACAUCGUUUGAAUUGGUGUCCU